rnacentral:rRNA from 1 species
AACGAACGCUGGCGGCAUGCCUAACACAUGCAAGUCGAACGAUCCCUUCGGGGAUAGUGGCGCACGGGUGCGUAACGCGUGGGAACCUGCCCUUAGGUUCGGAAUAACUCAGAGAAAUUUGAGCUAAUACCGGAUAAUGUCUUCGGACCAAAGAUUUAUCGCCUUUGGAUGGGCCCGCGUUGGAUUAGCUAGUUGGUGGGGUGAAGGCCUACCAAGGCGACGAUCCAUAGCUGGUCUGAGAGGAUGAUCAGCCACACUGGGACUGAGACACGGCCCAGACUCCUACGGGAGGCAGCAGUGGGGAAUAUUGGACAAUGGGCGAAAGCCUGAUCCAGCAAUGCCGCGUGAGUGAUGAAGGCCUUAGGGUUGUAAAGCUCUUUUACCCGGGAUGAUAAUGACAGUACCGGGAGAAUAAGCCCCGGCUAACUCCGUG